GGUCCCCUCCUGGCUAGCAGGGGGGCACCACGCUCGAGCGUAAUAAACUUGGUGUUUUUUGGGAACUCUGCAGUUGUGGACUUUGUUUAUGUGCCUCAGCCUAGAUUCGAACUGUGCGUGACCUAUCAGGUAUAAUUUGCCGCAUUUGUGUGCGUGACCUAUCAGGUGUAAUUCGCAGCAUUUGUGUGCGUGACCUAUCAGGUGUAAUUCGUAGCAUUUGUGUGCGUGUCCUACCAGGUAUAAUUCGCAGCAGUUGUGUGCGUGUCCUAUCAGGUAAAAUUUGUAACAGUUUUGGUGACCCAGAUGGGACUCUAGGCUCGCCCCAACAAGCGAGACUACACUCCUCCUCUCGGACAGCUCCAGCCGGCACAGGGUUAAUAAAAGCCAAGAAGGGGAAAAGAAAUAAAAUGGAGGACAAGCUAAUUCAACGCUGUAGCUGGCAGGCUCGGUCCAAAGAUAAGACGCUGGCCUGCCCAAGGACACUACUCACAGCUAGAAUUUGGCUAACAGCCAAGAAAGAGGGGGGCUUGAAUGUGCCCAAGCAGCUGUGAGAUCUGUAACACACUGCCAGACAUUAAUGAAAUGUGUUAGGUCUCUGUAUUUACAGGUGAAAGGAGUCCUGCUUCAAGAAUCCUGAGCAAACCUGCCAUUUGUUAAAACCAAGUAACUGGGUCCAUCAACAAAAGACUACUCUGGCCCCAUGCUGGAAAGGCCCUUAUUAAGUCCUGCUAACUACCAACACCGCUGUGAACUGCCAAGAACUGACUGCCUGAACCCAUGUUUCUUACUGCAAAAAGACCCCUCCACCUCAAGAUGACUUCACUUCGACUACUGAUCAGCCUGUCCCUCCUUCUGGUUUUUUUUUUUUCUUUCCUCCUUUUGGACAGCA